rnacentral:lncRNA from 1 species
AGAAUCGUUAUUUAAGAAAUAUUUUAUUGUUAAAUUACAGUCUAAAAUGAUUGCCACUAUGCUAUUCUUUUGCUUCCUUACCUCCCUUCUCCUUAGUCAUAGAGCCUGUGACUUAAGGCAAUGUUAAACACAGGUCUUGAUGGAGACGGAUUAGGGAGGGAUCACUUCACAAAAUACCAAAUAAGUUUAAUCUCUGCUUUUGAAAACAUGGAGAUUUAAGUUUUUUAAGGCUUGUUUUAAACCAACUUUGAUUAUCUUACAGUCAUAUUUUUUUUCUUGACAUGUCUUUGUAGAUGUGGCAGUUUAAGGCUGUUAACAUAAUGGCUGGCGCAUAAUUUCUGUCAAAUGUUUAGAUUUAGCAUAGGCCUUACUGAUGGAUUUGAAAACUUCUGCGUUUAUUAAUUGUUAAUAGGAACUUUUCAUUGCUGUUCUUAGUGAUGCUGGACAAUCAGGACCAACCAUGAAGCACUAAUUACUCACUUGUGGGGAUAGGUUGGAGAACGCAGUGAAGCAGGCUAAGAAGGUCAUGGAAAAAGAAUACAGGAUUAAAAAGUUCUGUGUUCUUUUCUUUAACACUUUGCUCAAUAUUAACUUUACAUUAUAUCAUGCCAGGUUAACUCAUAUGUUAAAAAAUUUUUUUUAAUUUUAAAAUUUACAUAAUAUCGAAUUUAUAUUUUUUAUAUUUUUUUCUGGUUCUUUAGUCUUGGAGGAAUUUAUAAUUUUAACCACAGUUACGUGAACAGUGCAGUAGUGUUAAGUAUGUUCGUAUUAUUGUACAAUUGAUCUCUAGAACUUUUUGUGCAAAACUGAAACUCAUCACUCAUUAAACAAUUCCCCAUUUCCCCUUCCCUGUAUCCCCUGGCAGCCACCAUUCUACUUUCUGUUUCUAUGAAUUUAACUAUUCUAGAUACCUCGAAUAAGUAGAAGUAUUUGUCUUUUUGUGACUCGCUUAUUUCACUUAGCAUAAUGUCUUCAGUGUUUAUCAGUGUUGUAGCAUGUGUCAGAAUUUCUUUGCUUUGUAAGGCUGAAUAAUACUCCAUUGUAUAUAUAUACUACAUUUUGUUUAUUCAUCUAUCAGUAUACACUAGGGUUGCUUCUUCUACCUUUUGGCUGCUAUGAAUAAUGCUAAUGUGAACAUGGGUGUACAAACAUCUCUUUGGGACUCUGCUUUCAAGUCUUUUGGGUGUAUACUCAGAAGUGGAAUUGCUGGAUCAUGUGGUAAUUUUGUUUGUAAUUUUUUGAGAAACUGCCAUACUGUUUUCUAUAGGGGCUGCACUAUUUUAUGUUCUCACCAACAGUGCAUAAGAGUUCCAAUUUUUCCACAUCCUUGCCAACUCUUAUUUUCUGUUGUUGGUUUUUGAUAGUAGCCAUCCUGAUGGAUGUGUAAUCUGUGUAUUUUUAAUUAUUUUUGCUUAUUUUUAAACCUAUUCUGUUGGCAUAUUAUUUUAGCCUUAGUAUACCUUGUGUUCUAAUACUCCUUAUAUCCUAAUUCAUAUUGAAAUCAGGCCCGUAAUUUUAUGCUGAAGUUGGAUAUGAUAUCGGGCAGAUUUAUAUCCCUUCAUCAUGAAGAGUAUUGGGUAUUAACACUAGUCUGUAAGAUCUUUCGUUUCAUCUGGAGCAUGAUGCUUUAGUGAUAGGUGUAUUCCCUCUGCUAGUCACUUAAAAAGCUUUAAAUAAAAAUCACUUUCUUAGCUUGUAUUAUCUAUAUUCUUUCUUAUAAAAUAAAGUAUUAAAAUGAUAACAGCAAUGUAUAUUAUUGCUUUAAAAAAAGUCAUUGUACAGGAAGAUGUAAUAUAAAAUACAAAUGUCCACCUUUAUCUAGUUUUUCUUACCUACCUCCUCAGAGGUUAUCACAGGAAAAGGAAUGAUUAGGUAUUCUUUCAGAAUCCUUUUACUAUUUUUUUAAGUCAUUUUACUUUCUUGAAUACUUUUUAUUUUCUGGUAUAUCAUUGACAUUAUGAUUCGCGAAUCACUUUCUGCUCUGUAUUGCCAAUGAAAUUCUGGACAUGUGUGUCUUGCUUUGGGGCUGAUACAGGUAUGGUCUUGGACUUUUCAGGCCAUUGUUCAGCAGUAGUGUUCUCUUUGGUCCAUAAAUUGACCUAGCAUCUUAGCAUUCCAUAGGAAACCAUAUGUUUUUUUCAGAGAUUUUGGAUUAUGAUUAUUCUGGAAAAUUAGGUGAUCUAGAGUAGGCUUUCUCAACCUUGUCACUAUUGACAUAUUAGACCAGAUAAUUCUUUGUCGUAGGUGACUGCACUGUGCUUUGUAGAUUGUUUAGCAGUAUACUUGACCCCUACCCAGUACCACCCCUGCCCAUCUCUGCAGUUGU